rnacentral:lncRNA from 1 species
GCGCAAUGUGAUGGUGGCGCGAAAACCAGAGGCACGCAACACAAACGACAGUGACACGUCGCCUACGUGACGGUGGAAUGCUGCCCAACAAUAGCGCAUGAUUCCUAAGUGGGUGGCAUGCACUGCCUGAGGCAGCACAUGUAGCCCCAACCUACCAUGCGCCGCAAGCUUAGCCUACCGCACGCACAGGCAUACGGCAUGCUGGCCUACCAUGUGCAACGGUCUUCCCCGCAUCAUUCCUAUAAAAGAAAGGAAGACAGGAGUUGGAGGCUUAAU